AGGGGGUGUUCUCUUUGUGUUUCAGUUUUGUGUUUUGAGUUUUGAAUUCAUUUUGAGUUUUGUGUUUUGAGUGUUUGUUUUGAAAUUGUUGAAAAUGCGUUCUUUUUGUUAGUUUCUCAAAACCAAAAAAAAAAUGAAUUUUUUUUUUUGAAAUUUUGAGAAUCACCACAACACCACCUCAAAAAAAAAAAAUUAUUUUUAUUUUUUUUUUAAAUUUUGAGAAUCACCACACCACCUCCUCAAAAAAAAAGUAAUAAUAAAAUAAAAUAAAAAAAUAAAAAAAAUAGAGGGUGUUUCCCGUGUUUUCAAUUUUUUCAAGUUUUACACUGAAAACGCCCAAAACGACAAAAAAGUCGUUUUGUGUUUUCUUCACAAAUUUUUUUUUCGUUUUCGAAAAUUCGUUUUCGAAAACGGGAAGGAGAACACGUUUUCACCGUUUUGAAAAAUCGAAAACAGAAAACGGCCCGAAAACGUUAAAGAGAACAGGG
rnacentral:lncRNA from 1 species